CCACUCAACAAAGCGUCCCGCGGGCCCUGCCCCAUGACUCACCGCUGGGUGGGGCAGGCGCGCAGGCGACCCGCGAGCCGAGACGGGGUAGCGAGGGCCGGAAGCCCGGCUCCCGACUCCGCUUCGCCCCCACAACCUCCGGCCGCCUGAAGUCCUGAGGGGCCGUGGCCCUGGGUCGUCUCCCUUGUUCCCAGCCUCCAGUCGCAGCUGGCGGAGAGAAGUUCCCGAGGCCCCCGCCCUUGCAGGGUGCCUUGCCCCGCCCAGAGCUGAGCCUUCCCGGGAUCUGAGGACCGAGUCCAGCCUAGCUCCCAGGAGGGGCCGGGGUCCUGGGGCAGGGAAUGAGGGGCAGGGGCUGGCUCCAGAGUCGGGCGGGGGAGGGGCACUAACCGAGAUGGGGGCUGAGCCUCCGGUCUGGGAGCUUCGGGAGGCGCGUGGCGGGAUGGAAAACAUUCCUGAGACCGUUGGCUUGGAUUUCCGGAUUUGGGAGGCUAGGACUCCGGCUACGGUGGCUUUGCCGUUGGGAUGAGAGGACUGGGCCCAGCUUGCGAGGAGUCAUGAAGUGGACACAGGGGGAGGAGCUUCCCUUUCCAUCUCCAGGGCUGCUGAGAAAAUGUUGGACAGAAGAAGGAAGGCAGGGCGGGGCCAGGCUGCAGCUAGCAUCUGGACUGUUGGCUAAUGUUGAGCAUGGCCUAGAAGACCCCUGCCCCCUUUUACAGCUUCUCCCCUAGAAGCCUGGCCCAGAUGCCUGAAUUCCCACCUUCCAUGCACUUGGCCCUGGGGCUUGGAAUUUUGCCAGGUUCUUACUGCCUCCUCCCUCCUGUGGCCUGCCCUGGAGGGCACACAAGCAAAGCCAGUGCCUCUGUGGACAGGCAGCUUAAGACAUUAGGAGACAAGUGAAGGAAGGGGGCAAAACUUCCAAGGCCGGACCAUCUCCUCUGGACCAGAGUUUCGGCCUGCUGGGAAUGGAGUCACCAGCCCCUGGUGGGCUGACAGGUGGUUCCGGCCUGCAGAGCUGUAACUCGUCCCUGCUGCUGAAC